rnacentral:misc_RNA from 1 species
AUAUAUCAACCCUCUCCUGUUUGAGUGGUUUGGAUGUGGGGGUUUGCUGGCCUUUUAAAAAGGGUUCAGCUCCUCUGAAAUGCAUUAGCAGAACAAUCCCUGUUCAUUGGUGUGAUAACUAUCUAUGCUAUUGAAUGUGAGGGGCAGUUCAGCUUUCUAACAGUCGUUGGACAAUUUAUCAUUA